rnacentral:misc_RNA from 1 species
UCCGGCUUCUCGCCGGCAGUCCUCCUUGAGUACCCGGUCCGGCCCAUGUCAAGCCUUGGUAAGGUUCUUCGCGUUGCAUCGAAUUAAUCCGCAUGCUCCGCCGCUUGUGCGGGCCCCCGUCAAUUCCUUUGAGUUUUAGCCUUGCGGCCGUACUCCCCAGGCGGGGCACUUAAUGCGUUAGCUACGGUACGGAGAACGUGGAAUGUCCCCCACACCUAGUGCCCAACGUUUACGGCAUGGACUAC